UAGCCAUGUUGUGGGCAGCGACGUAAUAAGUCUUUGAAUCACUCCCAUGCUUCAUAAAGUUGCUCCGAAUCAAGCUGUCUAAAUUGCCCAAUCUCACUCUUCAACUG